CAUUUCUCAAGUAGUAUGAAGUUAGGGGUAAAUUCGUCAUUUCAUGACUUAACACAUUAUUGAUCCGGAUAAACUGACGGUUUUUUAACAGAAGGGGUAUUUAUGAUAAUUUUUUAUAUUUCAAGGGGUAUGCAUGAUAUUUUAACUUUUGUAGGGGUAUCUACGAAAUUUGUAAAUUUUAGAGGGGUAUGGAUGAAAUUGCCCCUAUAUAUAUUUAUAGAGUACGUCUUCGAUACUUUCGAAAGCACGGAUACUUCUGUACUUGUAAGAUAUUUUUGAUGAUAAAAUAUCCAAUUCGACGAUCGGCUCCAUUAGGUAUAAUCUUUUUUAUUGGAACUAUGUAGAAACUAAAUUUUAUAAUUUUUUGACAUUAUUUACCAAGCGAUCAAAAGAUCUCAAAAAUGACUAUUUUAACGGCCGAGGCGGCAUAUUUUUAAGUUCAACGGUGUAGAAGAAUCCAAAUUACAUAAAAAUUUAAUAAAAAAUUUUACUUAACAUCAAUAGCAAGAUCAAUACUUCCGAUUUGAAAUUUGAGUAUUUAUCAUUAUUUUUUAUGAAAUUUUUAUUUUUAGCCAUUCAUUUUGAGGCUACUCAUUCACUAGACAAACGAAGUCAAAAAAUUCCGAAAUUUAGUUUUUAAAUAGUUCCAACAGCAUAGAUCAUUUUUAACAGAACCGAUCGUCGAAUCGGAUGUCCCAUCAUCGAAAAUAACAUAUAAGUACAGAGGCCUUCGUACUUUCGAAAGCAUAGGAGCAUAACUCUCUCUCUCUCUCUCUCUCUCUCUCUCUCUCUCUCUCUCUCUCUCUCUCUCUCUCUCUCCCUCCAUCUCCCUUUUCUUUUCUUGGUUAUAUAUAC
rnacentral:lncRNA from 1 species